UACGUAGGGGGCAAGCGUUGUCCGGAAUCAUUGGGCGUAAAGCGCGUGUAGGCGGCCAGGUAAGUCCGUUCUGAAAGCCCGGGGCUCAACCCCGGGAGGCGGAUGGAUACUGCUUGGCUCGAGUCCGGAAGAGGCGAGUGGAAUUCCCGGUGUAGCGGUGAAAUGCGCAGAUAUCGGGAGGAACACCAGCGGCGAAGGCGGCACUCUGGGCUGGUACUGACGCUGAGGAGCGAAAGCGUGGGUAGCAAACAGG
rnacentral:rRNA from 1 species